CGGCAACGGAUAUCUCGGCUCUCGCAUCGAUGAAGAACGUAGCGAAAUGCGAUACUUGGUGUGAAUUACAGAAUCCCGUGAACCAUCGAGUCUUUGAACGCAAGUUGCGCCCGAAGCCAUCAGGCCGAGGGCACGCCUGCCUGGGCGUCACACGUCGUUGCCCCC
rnacentral:rRNA from 1 species